rnacentral:rRNA from 1 species
AUUGCCGGCGACCGGCGCACGGGUGCGUAACGCGUAUGUAACCUACCUAUAACAGGGGCAUAACACUGAGAAAUUGGUACUAAUUCCCCAUAAUAUUCGGAGAGGCAUCUCUCCGGGUUGAAAACUCCGGUGGUUAUAGAUGGACAUGCGUUGUAUUAGCUAGUUGGUGAGGUAACGGCUCACCAAGGCAACGAUACAUAGGGGGACUGAGAGGUUAACCCCCCACACUGGUACUGAGACACGGACCAGACUCCUACGGGAGGCAGCAGUGAGGAAUAUUGGUCAAUGGACGCAAGUCUGAACCAGCCAUGCCGCGUGCAGGAAGACGGCUCUAUGAGUUGUAAACUGCUUUUGUACGAGGGUAAACUCACCUACGUGUAGGUGACUGAAAGUAUCGUACGAAUAAGGAUCGGCUAACUCCGUGCCAGCAGCCGCGGUAAUACGGAGGAUUCAAGCGUUAUCCGGAUUUAUUGGGUUUAAAGGGUGCGUAGGCAGUUUGAUAAGUUAGAGGUGAAAUCCCGGGGCUUAACUCCGGAACUGCCUCUAAUACUGUUAGACUAGAGAGUAGUUGCGGUAGGCGGAAUGUAUGGUGUAGCGGUGAAAUGCUUAGAGAUCAUACAGAACACCGAUUGCGAA